UACGGGGGGGGCAAGCGUUGUUCGGAAUUACUGGGCGUAAAGGGCUCGUAGGCGGCCAACUAAGUCGGAUGUGAAAUCCCCAGGCUCAACUUGGGAACUGCAUCCGAUACUGGAUGGCUUGAAUUCGGGAGAGGGAUGCAGAAUUCCAGGUGUAGCGGUGAAAUGCGUAGAUAUCUGGAGGAAUACCGGUGGCGAAGGCGGCAUCCUGGACCGACAUUGACGCUGAGGAGCGAAAGCUAGGGGAGCGAACGGG
rnacentral:rRNA from 1 species